rnacentral:ncRNA from 1 species
CAUUUAUAGGUAAAACAGCUUGUACAGAACCUUUACCAAAAGUUUUUUCACCAAUAAUAAUUGCUCUUUUAUGGUCUUGUAAUGAACCACUAACAAUUUCAGAUGCAGAAGCUGAACCUUCAUUUACAAGAACAACAAGUGGUAAAUCAGUUUUAAAACUAAAUUUAUUUGCUUCAAAUUUCUCAUGCGACUCUUUAUCUCUACCUUUUUGAGAAACUAUUAAACCAUUUCUAAUAAAAGUAUCAACAACUCCAAUAGCUUGACCUAAUAAUCCACCAGGAUUAUUUCUUA